AACGAACGCUGGCGGCGCGCUUAACACAUGCAAGUCGAACGAGAAGGCGUAGCAAUACGCUUGUACAGUGGCGAACGGGUGAGUAAUACGUGGGCGACCUACCCUCGAGUGGGGAAUAACCCGCCGAAAGGCGGGCUAAUGCCGCGUACGCUUCCCAGUCUGCGGAUUGGGAAGGAAAGCGAUGCCGUGGGUAUCGCGCUCAAGGUUGGGCUCAUGUCCUAUCAGCUUGNGGUGAGGUAACGGCUCACCAAGGCAACGACGGGUAGCUGGUCUGAGAGGACGAUCAGCCACACUGGCACUGCGACACGGGCCAGACUCCUACGGGAGGCAGCAGUGAGGAAUAUUGCGCAAUGGGCGAAAGCCUGACGCAGCGACGCCGCGGUGGGGGAGUGAAGGUC
rnacentral:rRNA from 1 species